CACAUGUUCUGAUUAGGUUGCUGAGUGGUUUGUUAUGGCUGCGCCUGUCGGUUAGUGUUGUUUCAUGUGCACAUGCGUCUUUUUGCGUCUGCGUUUGUUCAGCGUGCAUUUGUUUGUCGUGAUGAGUGGAUUUGGAGGUGAGAUGAGUCCCUGAAGAGAGAAGCAAAGCGGGUGCCAGGGGGCUCCAGCUGAUUACAGAUGAAAUGGAUCUGAUUUUGACCUUGACUGCGAGCCAAACACCUGCUCAGACCUGAGGUAGCCGUAGAAGAGGAGAGGGCGAGAUGAAACCGGAGAGACUGACGUCCAGUUAAUGAGAUGGCGAGAUCAUCUGUGCUUUGGGAUUUGUAGUGGUGGACUCGCGCCUGAUGGAAGCGGAUCAAGAUUAAACAUUUGGGGGGUGGAUGUGAUAUGGAGUUACAGUAUUUCACAACUAAUCUGAGACAAAAGCUUCAUCGAUACCAGAGACUCGAUUUGAUGGGUAUGAAGAUAUUUGAUGCAGCUACCAGGAACAGUCUGGACAUAAUCCAAGGAUAAAAUGAUGACCUAAUAAUUUCAACAAGUCUGUGAUCAGAUAUUAAAGCAGCACCAACAAAAAUGUAUUUUAACAAUGGUUUCAGAUGACUGCAUGUAAUUUGAAAGGGCUGGCUCGUAGCGAGAAACACGUUAUCUUGCCUUCAGCUAUGCAGCGUUUUAUCAUCUUUCUGCAAAUGUUUUAAUUUGACAGUGUGUAACUUGAAUGCUUUGGUUCACUGUCUCUGCUCUCAAGCUCCUUUAUAAAUGUCCUUAAUUAUUGUUCCAUCUAAAUGUCAGUUAUUAUUAUGUAUUUGUCACAGAAUUACCAUUUAAAGAUCACAGACAUCUGGACUGGACUUUGGGCUGAUUGGUCGGUUGAACAUCUGCUUCCUUGUUACUGGUUAUAUGUGGUUAUUCUCUGUCAUUACAUGGCAUACACAUGCCAUUCAAAGACAUUCAGGUCUAUGAGAGUUUAUCAGUCAAUAGCUGCUUGAUCCUUUAACCUGAUUGAAGAUACCAGUGUAUUCAUUUAUGUGACAUUAAAGAAAUGUGCCUACUGCAGAAAGUCAA